rnacentral:rRNA from 1 species
GUUCAGGAUGAACGCUAGCUACAGGCUUAACACAUGCAAGUCGAGGGGCAUCAGGAAGAAAGCUUGCUUUCUUUGCUGGCGACCGGCGCACGGGUGAGUAACACGUAUCCAACCUGCCCUUUACUCGGGGAUAGCCUUUCGAAAGAAAGAUUAAUACCCGAUAGCAUAAUGAUUCCGCAUGGUUUCAUUAUUAAAGGAUUCCGGUAAAGGAUGGGGAUGCGUUCCAUUAGGUUGUUGGUGAGGUAACGGCCCACCAAGCCUUCGAUGGAUAGGGGUUCUGAGAGGAAGGUCCCCCACAUUGGAACUGAGACACGGUCCAAACUCCUACGGGAGGCAGCAGUGAGGAAUAUUGGUCAAUGGGCGCUAGCCUGAACCAGCCAAGUAGCGUGAAGGAUGAAGGCUCUAUGGGUCGUAAACUUCUUUUAUAUAAGAAUAAAGUGCAGUAUGUAUACUGUUUUGUAUGUAUUAUAUGAAUAAGGAUCGGCUAACUCCGUGCCAGCAGCCGCGGUAAUACGGAGGAUCCGAGCGUUAUCCGGAUUUAUUGGGUUUAAAGGGAGCGUAGGUGGACUGGUAAGUCAGUUGUGAAAGUUUGCGGCUCAACCGUAAAAUUGCAGUUGAUACUGUCAGUCUUGAGUACAGUAGAGGUGGGCGGAAUUCGUGGUGUAGCGGUGAAAUGCUUAGAUAUCACGAAGAACUCCGAUUGCGAAGGCAGCUCACUGGACUGCAACUGACACUGAUGCUCGAAAGUGUGGGUAUCAAACAGGAUUAGAUACCCUGGUAGUCCACACAGUAAACGAUGAAUACUCGCUGUUUGCGAUAUACAGUAAGCGGCCAAGCGAAAGCAUUAAGUAUUCCACCUGGGGAGUACGCCGGCAACGGUGAAACUCAAAGGAAUUGACGGGGGCCCGCACAAGCGGAGGAACAUGUGGUUUAAUUCGAUGAUACGCGAGGAACCUUACCCGGGCUUAAAUUGCAGUGGGAUGAUGUGGAAACAUGUCAGUGAGCAAUCACCGCUGUGAAGGUGCUGCAUGGUUGUCGUCAGCUCGUGCCGUGAGGUGUCGGCUUAAGUGCCAUAACGAGCACAACCCUUAUCUUUAGUUACUAACAGGUUAUGCUGAGGACUCUAGAGAGACUGCCGUCGUAAGAUGUGAGGAAGGUGGGGAUGACGUCAAAUCAGCACGGCCCUUACGUCCGGGGCUACACACGUGUUACAAUGGGGGGUACAGAAGGCAGCUAGCGGGUGACCGUAUGCUAAUCCCAAAAUCCUCUCUCAGUUCGGAUCGAAGUCUGCAACCCGACUUCGUGAAGCUGGAUUCGCUAGUAAUCGCGCAUCAGCCACGGCGCGGUGAAUACGUUCCCGGGCCUUGUACACACCGCCCGUCAAGCCAUGGGAGCCGGGGGUACCAGAAGUACGUAACCGCAAGGAUCGUCCUAGGGUAAAA